CGCUACACCUAACAAGGAAGUGAACUCAAGAGUAGUUUGACCAGUUGACAGGCCGUAGCAAAGAAAAGUUGGCGUAAUGUUGAUGAUUGUAGCCUUUGCUUGUGUGUCUUUGGUCAUAUUUAUACUUAAAUAUGUCUUCGGCAACUCAGGUCCGAACCCCUUUGAGAAGGACUGUCGUGAGCCGCUAAAAGAGAAGGUUUACGACAAGAAAGAGAAAAACAAAGUCCUUAAGCAAGGUUUUGUGGCCAGUAAAGUGCCAGACAACCUGGAUGCAGUCAUCAUCGGCAGUGGUGUCGGUGGACUGGGGCUGGCUGUGCUCCUGGCUAAAGUUGGAAAGAAGGUUCUGGUUCUGGAACAGCAUAGUCGGGCCGGGGGAUGCUGCCACACGUUCACAGAGAAGGGCUUUGAGUUUGAUGUUGGUAUCCACUACAUCGGUGGUCUGAUGGACCACAAGCCCUUUCGCUGCAUGCUGGACCAGAUGACCAAUGGUCAGCUGGAGUGGGAAAAGCUGGAGAACCCGUUUGAUCACGUUGUGCUGGGACCACCUGAAAACCGCCGCUCCUACCCCAUUUACAGCGGCAGCGCUCGCUACUCUGAAGAGCUGAAGAAGCGAUUCCCUGGAGAGGAGAAGGCCAUCGAUGAGUAUCUGAAGCUGGUGAAGAAAACCGGGCAUGGCAUUUGGGUCAUGGCUGUGUUGAAGCUCUGCCCCUUACCUUUGGCCAAGUUCCUGAUCCACACCGGCCUCGUCAAGCAUCUGUCUUACUUCUACAAAAUGGCGCCACGCAGCCUGACAGAUGUGGUCAACGAGCUGACGGAGAACAAGGACCUCAGAGCUGUCUUCACCUACAUCUUUGGCACCUAUGGCAACCUACCAAAAGAUUCCAGCUUUUCCAUGCACAGUUUGCUGACCACCCACUACCUGACUGGCGCCUGGUAUCCUAAAGCUGGCAGCAGCGAGAUUGCUUACCACAUGAUUCCCAUCAUCGAGAAGGCAGGGGGCGCUGUUCUGGUGCGAGCCCCAGUCAACCGCAUCUUAUUUAAUGAUGCAAAGGAAGCUUGUGGUGUGAGUGUGUUGAAAGGUCAGGAGGAGGUGCAUAUAAAAGCCCCUAUGGUCAUUUCUGAUGCUGGUAUAUUUAAUACCUAUGAGAACCUGCUGCCCAAGGAGCUCCAGGCCAUGCCAGAGAUCCAGAAGCAGCUCAGUCUGGUGAAACAUGGUGAAGGAGGUCUGAGCAUCUUUAUUGGUUUAAAUGGAACCAAGGAGGAGCUGGGCCUGAAAGCAAACAACUACUGGAUCUUCACUGAGAACAAUUUUGAUGAACUGGUGGAGAAAUAUAUGAAUGAGGAGCGGGAAGAGGCGUCUAAGAAAAUACCUCUGCUGUUUGUCGCCUCGCCGUCUGCCAAAGAUCCAUCGUGGGAGGAGAGAUCACCAGGAAAGUCUACUUUAAGUCUGGUUAGUUUUGCCAAAUACUCGUGGUUUGAGGAGUGGAAGGACGAUAAAGUGACGAACAGAGGGUCCGACUACAAAGAGCUGAAACAAGCGUUCAUUGACUCCGCUCUGGAUGUGGUGAUGGACGUUUUCCCCAAAAUCACCAGGGACAAGAUUGAGUAUAUUGACGCUGGAACCCCCAUCACAAACACACACUACAUUGCUGCCCCAAAAGGUGAGUUCUACGGAGUGGACCACGGCAUCGCUCGGUUCAACCCUGAACUCAACGUUACAAUAAGACCUCAGACUCCCCUGAAGAACCUCUACCUGACAGGCCAGGAUGUGUUUUUGUGCGGUUUCGCUGGCGCCCUUGCUGGAGCUCUCACAUGUGGCUCGGUCAUUCUGAACCGCAACCUCCAUCUGGCCGCCAUCGCCUUGGCAAAGAGAACAAAAUAUGUGAACAACAAGCUGAAAGACGAAUAGCCGCUCUUAUUCGCUCUGUUUAUGCUUAUUGUUUAGUUUCACUACAGAAGUGAAAACUUCCACAUCAAAUGAUGGGGCCCACAAUCUGGACUUCCAAAAUGUUCAGUUUGAGGGUAAAGCCCAGAGUCGAACCCGUUUGCAAAGGACUGUCGAGAACCGCUGAAAAAGAAAGUUUACGACGAAAAAACGAGAAAUAAAG